GUCACAACUUGGGGUCAAAAACUGAUUUGUAAUCAGUAGGUCGGCGGUUCGAGUCCGUCUGGGGGCACCA
rnacentral:tRNA from 1 species